UACGAAGGGGGCUAGCGUUGUUCGGAUUUACUGGGCGUAAAGCGCACGUAGGCGGAUCGUUAAGUCGGGGGGUGAAAUCCUGGAGCUCAACUCCAGAACUGCCUUCGAUACUGGCGAUCUUGAGUCCGGAAGAGGUGAGUGGAACUCCUAGUGUAGAGGUGGAAUUCGUAGAUAUUAGGAAGAACACCAGUGGCGAAGGCGGCUUACUGGUCCGGUACUGACGCUGAGGUGCGAAAGCGUGGGGGAGCAAACAGG
rnacentral:rRNA from 1 species